rnacentral:rRNA from 1 species
CGAACGGGGAGCAGCCCAGAGCCUGAAUCAGUGUGUGUGUUAGUGGAAGCGUCUGGAAAGGCGCGCGAUACAGGGUGACAGCCCCGUACACAAAAAUGCACAUGCUGUGAGCUCGAUGAGUAGGGCGGGACACGUGGUAUCCUGUCUGAAUAUGGGGGGACCAUCCUCCAAGGCUAAAUACUCCUGACUGACCGAUAGUGAACCAGU